rnacentral:rRNA from 1 species
GGGGAAUAUUGCACAAUGGGCGAAAGCCUGAUGCAGCAACGCCGCGUGAGUGAUGAAGGCCUUCGGGUUGUAAAGCUCUGUCUUCUGGGACGAUAAUGACGGUACCAGAGGAGGAAGCCACGGCUAACUCCGUGCCAGCAGCCGCGGUAAUACGUAGGUGGCAAGCGUUGUCCGGAUUUACUGGGCGUAAAGGAUGCGUAGGCGGAUACUUAAGUCAGAUGUGAAAAUCCCGGGCUUAACUUGGGAACUGCAUUUGAAACUGGGUAUCUAGAGUGCGGGAGAGGAAACUGGAAUUCCUAGGGUAGUGGUGAAAUGCGUAGAGAUUAGGAAGAACACCAGUGGCGCAGGCGACUUUCUGGACCGUAACUGACGCUGAGGCAUGAAAGCGUGGGGAGCAAACA